AUUGAACGCUGGCGGCAAGCCUAACACAUGCAAGUCGAGCGGAGCAGCGGACGGGUGAGUAAUGCCUAGGAAUCUGCCUGGUAGUGGGGGAUAACUUCCGGAAAUGGGCGCUAAUACCGCAUACUAUCAGAUGAGCCUAGGUCGGAUUAGCUAGUUGGUGUGGUAAAGGCCUACCAAGGCGACGAUCCGUAAAUGGUCUGCGAGGAGGAGCAGUCACACUGGAACUGAGAAACGGUCCAGACCCCUACGGGAGGCAGCAGUGGGGAAUAUUGGACAAUGGGCGAAAGCCUGGUCCAGCCAUGCCGCGUGUGUGAAGAAGGUCUGCGGAUUGUAAAGCACUGUAAUUUGGGAGGCGUUACCAACAGAAUAAGCAACGGCUAACUUCGUGCCAGCGGCCGCGGUAAGUA
rnacentral:rRNA from 1 species